rnacentral:rRNA from 1 species
AUUGAACGCUGGCGGCAGGCCUAACACAUGCAAGUCGAACGAGUGGCGGACGGGUGAGUAAUGUCUGGGAAACUGCCUGAUGGAGGGGGAUAACUACUGGAAACGGUAGCUAAUACCGCAUACCAUCGGAUGUGCCCAGAUGGGAUUAGCUAGUAGGUGGGGUAAAGGGUCACCUAGGCGACGAUCCCUAGCUGGUCUGAGAGGAUGACGAGCCACACUGGAAUUGAAAAACGGCCCGGACUAUGACGGGAGGCACCAGAGGGGAAUAUUGUACAAGGGGCGCAAGCAUGAUGCAGCCAUGCCGCGUGUGUGAAGAAGUCCUUCGGGUUGUAAAGUACUUUCUGCGAGGAGGCGGUACCCAAAGAAGAAGCACCGGCUAACUCCGUGCCAGCAGCCGCGGUAAUUC